rnacentral:rRNA from 1 species
GGAGGGCGGUAUUUAUUAGAUAACAAGCCAAUAUUCCUUCGGGUCUAUUGUGGUGACUCAUAAUAACUGAUCGAAUCGCGAGGCGUUAAGCCGCGAUAAGUCAUUCAAGUUUCUGCCCCAUCAGCUUUCGAUGGUAGUGUAUUGGACUACCAUGGCGUUUACGGGUAACGGAGGAUUAGGGUUCGAUUCCGGAGAGGGAGCCUGAGAAACGGCUACCACAUCUAAGGAAGGCAGCAGGCGCGUAAAUUACCCAAUCCUGACUCAGGGAGGUAGUG